rnacentral:lncRNA from 1 species
ACGCCCAGUUCCGAUCUCACUGAUCCGGGUUCUGACUUCUUUGGUCCAGGCUGGACCUGGGUGUGGGCUUAUUAAAACCCCCUCCCGGGGCGCCUGGGUGGCGCAGUCGGUUAAGCGUCCGACUUCAGCCAGGUCACGAUCUCGCGGUCGGUGAGUUCGAGCCCCGCGUCGGGCUCUGGGCUGAUGGCUCAGAGCCUGGAGCCUGUUUCCAAUUCUGUGUCUUCCUCUCUCUCUGCCCCUCCCCUGUUCAUGCUCUGUCUCUCUCUGUCCCAAAAAUAAAUAAAUGUUGAAAAAAAAAAUUAAAAAAAAAAAAAAAAACCCUCCCGCAGGGGAUGCUAACACCCAGGUGGAGAGAGUCUAGGUCAGACCGGCAGGGGCUGUGGGUCGCGCAUUUUUGUCCCUGUCCUAACAGGGCCAGGGCUAGGUUUUGGGCCUAGGAGGCGGGAUAUGGAGGGGUUUCACAAUCAGAUUUGCUUUUUUUUUUUUUUUUAAUGUUUAUUUAUUUUUGAAAGAGAGUGAGGGGGGGAGGGACAGGGAGAGGGAGAGAAGGCACAAGCAGGGGAGGGGCAGAGAGAAAGGGAGACACAGAAUCCGAAGCAGGCUCCAGGCUCCGAGCGGUCAGCACAGAGCCCGACGCAGGGCUCGAACCCACGAACCGUGAGAUCGUGACCUGAGCCGAGGUCAGAUGCUUCACCGACUGAGCCCCCCAGGCGCCCCAAGACCAGAUCUGCUUUUGACGGAGAAACGAAAAACAAGUGGUCGCGUCGCAUGGAUGAGAAGCAAGAGAGAGGGAGAGAGGCCUUGGCAGGCGCCCAGCGGGCCCCUCGCUCGGCGCAGAGGACCUGAAAGGCCAUGCCAGCCCCAAGGCUUUCCCAGAGGAAACCUCGCCCCCGGAUCCGCAGGAAGUCACAGUCAGGGGCUGGUGAGUCCCAGACGGACGGCCCACAAAGCUUGGGAUCCGAUCCAGAUCUCUGGAGCUCGGAUACACCAGAAAGACCUCCGCCGCUCGGAACAUCAAGUUCUGAGGCUUGGCAGAGACCCGGGCGGCUUUGCCGGCCCCGCGAUCCCGGCUGGGCCCCGGGCCCCGGCUGGCCUCCCCCGCCCCGGCGCCCGCUGGGCCGUCCGGCCUGGCUGUCGAGCCGGGCUCCUGCCUCGAUUCUGAUCAAAGGAAAGCGGCUGGUUUCCCGGGCAGAUUUGUUCCGUGUUUACUUCUCUUCCCAGAGCCUUUCUCCUGCCACAUUAAGACCUGUAGUUCACGUGUCCCUGGGCCGUCACCCCUCCUCUCCUCAGGACUCCGGAGGGUCCUUUUUAUAAGUUAAUCUUUGCAAGAAAUUACCUGACGGGUCCCAGCUCGGCCCUGGGUCCCUGGGAUCCGAAUGCUGCCGCGGGGGGUGACUUCUCAGCUCAAGAGCCUUUAUCGAGCGCCUGUUGUGUGCCAGCCCCGCGCUGUGUCCUGGGGGCUAGGAGAUGCACCUGACUUUUGUCCUGCCUCUCUUAUCUGUAGACGAGGCCCCCUUCCUCGCAGGGUCGUCGUGACGGUUGCAUUUGUUCUGUGAACCGACGCAGGCCAGGCCCUGUGCAGGCAAAUAAGAGAGGCGCGGAUGCCUGACCUUUUGGAGCUGGCGUCCGCCUCGGGGGUCUCUGAGCCCCUCCUGCCACUGUAGCCAAGACAACAAAGUCAGUGUCACAGGUGAAAGAACUGGGCCGGUGGCACAGGCCUUCCCAGCAGCAGGCAGACACGGGCCGAGCCGGUUCACCACCCGGGCGCGUCCCUAAGUCUGGGGCUGGGGGCCCUUCUGUUGCAGGGUCACAGGGGCCUGGGGUCGAGCCCCAGCUCUGCCGCUGGCCGCCGGACCACGGGCGGUCUUGCGCCUGUGUUUCCUCCCCUGCGAAACGGGCGUCACCAGAGGGGCUGCUGUGCGCAGCAGGCGACAGAACGUUCGUGAAGCGCUGAGCCCGGCGCUUUUCCGCGCCCGGCCCGCGUGUGUUCGGGCAUACUCACGACGCGUGCAAACCUUCUCCGACCCCUCCCCAAGGACCCCACGACGCAGCUGUCCGCUCGGCCACACGCGAGGCGAGGACGCCGAGGUUUCCGCAGCCGGGCUCGGCCGGUGCCCACUCAGCACCAUGUUCCAAAGACGCUUCCGUGGGCAGAGCCUGUC